rnacentral:lncRNA from 13 species
GAUCGUGAGUACGAAGCACUAUUGUGCUUCAUUGGCGCGACGUGCGACGCGAACAAAAUUUCUAUUUACCUGAACAAAAUUAAAAUAUCAGCCUGCCCGAUGUGGUUAAAUUAAAUCGUUAAUCACGUGAAAUGGGCGUGUGUAAGAGGGCAGCCGUUCAUACCGCCGGUGCGUCGUUUUAUGCGUGGCAAGGUUGGAGCUGUCUGACAAUGAUUGGCAUCGUCGUAGCUCUGAUAUUAUUCUGUUACAAUUAUGUAAACAAACCUUCGAGGUAACGGCAUCGCGAAAUUAAACCUAUUCAAACUUACGAAGAAGUACGGAAGGACUAAGUAAAUCAGAAUUCCUAAAUGAGCAAUUACCAUAAUGAAGAAGUUAUUCAAGAAAACCUUCAACUUCUCGUUAAUGCAAGCAGUAACUGAACUAUUACCAGCAUCGAAUUCUCCGACCUCCGUCUGUUACAUUAAAAAAAGAUUAACAUAUAAUUUGAAAUAAUAAAUGUAUUAAAAAUGUAAAACAUAAUUUGAACAAAUUAAAAAUGACUUAUCUAAACCCAAA